UCCUCGCUCAAAGAAUCGCAUUCAAAGCUCACACACAAAAGGAAGCCUCGCUCCCUUUUCCAAUUUUGCUUUGGGAGAAAGUCCCCGGACACCCUGCGCUUUGGGUAAAACCAAAGUACCAAGCCAGGCACUGCGGAAACGCGCCGCCAUAGAAGCAAUUCGAUAGCGGCUUACGCCCUAUUCCCUCACGGUAUCCCGUGCCACCCGACGGUUACAUUUCAUGAUGUCUCUGGAAACAAUGGGGUGUGUGCUGGGUAUUGGAGGGGGGAAGGAUUGGUGGUAAAACAUCUUUCCUUGUAUUGGGUUGCCUUUCGUCAUGUUCGGAUAGUCAUGCGAUUGCCUCCUGUCUGCUUCCUCGGAAGCCGAUGGAGGUAACUCAAUGGGGCUCAUUCUUGAGGCGAGG
rfam:Penicillium camemberti str. FM013